GACAGAGGGUGCAAACGUUGCUCGGAAUUACUGGGCGUAAAGCGCGUGUAGGCGGGCCGGAAAGUCGGGCGUGAAAUCCCUGGGCUCAACCCAGGAACUGCACUCGAAACUUCCGGUCUAGAGUGGUGGAGAGGGAAGUGGAAUUCCUGGUGUAGAGGUGAAAUUCGUAGAUAUCAGGAGGAACACCAGUGGCGAAGGCGGCUUCCUGGACACCAACUGACGCUGAGACGCGAAAGCGUGGGGAGCAAACGGG
rnacentral:rRNA from 1 species